AAAAAAAAACAAAAACAAAACAAGAGCCAAAUAUUUAUAUUUAAGAUUAUGUUUAGACAGAGCAAUAAUGUACGUAUGUAGUUUAAAGUACAGCAAACUACGGACACCGCGAUUCAAUUGAUCAGCUUUUACGAAAUGGUAUAAAUUUGAUUUACCAUAGGCAUAUACACAUAUAGACUAAAUGCAACAAAUAUCAGCAAUUAUGUGCGCUACACAUACACAUACGUAUAAAUAAAUAUAUCAUUUACAUAUACGUAUUAAAACCCUCAAUAACUGCAGUUACAACAACCUGCAACAGCGACCCGAACUCAAAAGGAACAAGUGGAAACUGAAACUUAAUAAACUAUUGCACACACACACACACACACAUAUAUAUAGAUAUAUACUGAUCGACCUACAUAAUCGAUUUCUUUGAUACCAAUUUGUAUCGUUAAUGCAUAUGUAACUGCGUAUGUGAGGAACCACCGCCUAAUAAAUACUGUUACUACAUUACAACAAAAACAAAAAACAUAAACUAAAACUAAAACAAAUACACUAUGGAAUACAUUUAGCUCUAUGUUUCAUUUACAUUUAGUUCAAUGUUAAACAGAACUCUUAGAAUUUGCUGCACAACCGCUGUUACAUUUAACAUAUUAAGCAAAUGUAAUGCGGCUCUGACGUCACAAUUCAACAGCCGCCAUUGCGCAUAGCGAAUCCCAACAAAAAUAAACCUUUAAUUAGCACAUUUUAUUAGUAUCUUGUUUUUUUUUUUUUUUUUUUUUUUUCUUUCAUUUUGUUUAUUUUUGACUUUUGGAUUUCUUAUUUAAUGAUAACAUCAAUUAAUUUAAAUAUAUAGAUGGUUCGAGUUCGAGACCAACAACAGUCGCUUGAACUUUAAUGUAGUGCAUUAUUAUUACUGUAAGGGAUUAAACUUAAAUUUUGUUUGUUUUAAAACUAUUUUAAGUGCUUUAAAAAUUCAGAUCUAAGAAAUUAUAUUUACAUGCAUACUACACUUAUAUCUGGUCACUUGUAAACCAAUAACAAAAAUACGCAAAAUAUGCUAAAACAAAUUACAUUUAAUUCAUUAAAUUUAUACUUUAUACAUUGCAUAUGGAAA